rnacentral:lncRNA from 1 species
GGACGUAGCCAAUCUGGGUGAACCACGUACAUCCUGUGUUUGCUUCUCUGUCUCUAUUCAUUUACGUAUUUAUCCUCACUAGUGACUGAAGCAACCAAGCAACCAAGCGAAGGUCACAAAACCUGACACUUUCUGUUGUACCAAAGUCUUCGCUGAUUUUGUGCAUCAACAAAGAAGGUAGAUAGGUUACAAGUGAAAAUGAACAUACAUCAUGCGGUCAGUCUUCGUCAUAUACUAUUUGUGUUUAAAAAGGGUUAAAUGAUUUCUGACCGCACGAUGCACGAUGAAUUGUUAAGAUGUAAGAAUCCUCGUAAUUUGGAUCUGGAUGGGAUCCAAAUCCAUAUCUUUUUACAUUGCACUCUUUUUUUUAGAUAAGUUAGGAUGUCUUGUUCCACAAUUUAUAUAGCGAUGAAAUUUGGUUGGAAGUUAUGUCAUUGUCCUCUCUUUCUAGCAGUGACGUUGUGUUGAAAGGUCCCGCAUUGAUCGUAUCUAUGAGAAAAAAAAAAUUAAAUAUUCUAAUUCAACUUCAACUAAUACCGAGACUUUUGUGAUAAAAUCUCACACCUGAUGAAUUGUGCAUGUGAUACUUAUCAAGAUGGGGAUAAUAUCAGUGUUGUUGGAAGUAAGCCCUCUGCCCGUCUCUCUGAUAAUUCUAAAGUUAUGUCAUUAUAGUUCCACAAUGAUAUAAAUUCAGCGCUAAUAAAACUCUAAAAGUUUAGUUCCAAAUAUCUAGUUCCACAAAUUUGAUAUAUGGUUACACAUGUUCGGAUAUUUGGGUCAAGGGAUCAUUUAAUCUUGAGUGAGUCCGAAAAAUAAUAAAACUAUAUUCGACUUUGAGUAAGAGUGAAAUUGUGUUGGAAGGAGGCUGUCACCAAAUUAAAAUUUUCGGUCAACAAAACAACAAUACAAAGUAAAUUGACAUAGUUAUAACCAAGGAAGAAAAUAUCGGAAAUAUCGGUAGUCCGAAAACACGGAAAUAUCGAUGGAAAUAUCGGGAUAAUAUCGAUAUCGAUAAA